rnacentral:rRNA from 1 species
AUUGAACGCUGGCGGCAUGCCUUACACAUGCAAGUCGAACGGCAGCACGGGAGCAAUCCUGGUGGCGAGUGGCGAACGGGUGAGUAAUAUAUCGGAACGUGCCCAGUCGUGGGGAUAACGUAGCGAAAGCUACGCUAAUACCGCAUACGAUCUAUGGAUGAAAGCGGGGGAUCGCAAGACCUCGCGCGAUUGGAGCGGCCGAUAUCAGAUUAGGUAGUUGGUGAGGUAAAGGCUCGCCAAGCCGACGAUCUGUAGCUGGUCUGAGAGGACGACCAGCCACACCUGGGACUGAGACACGGCCCAGACUCCUACGGAGGCAGCAGUGGGGAAUUUUGGACAAUGGGCGCAAGCCUGAUCCAGCAAUGCCGCGUGCAGGAUGAAGG